rnacentral:misc_RNA from 1 species
GUGAAUCAUCGAAUUUUUGAACGCAAAUUGCACUCUCUGGUUUUCCGGGAGAGUAUGCUUGUUUGAGGGUCUGUUUAAAAAAUAAUCGAGGCAGAUGCUGUGGUGGCUAUACGGAAUUGGGUCAUCUUUCCCCUUUCGGUUGUAAGCGAACUAAAAUUUUUUUACGAUUUCUACGAACGUGUCUAAGAAU